rnacentral:rRNA from 1 species
AUGAACGACUUCUUGAUGGCCCCUUUCACUAGCGAUGAUGUUAAAAAUGUUGUACACAGUAUUGGUGAUCUAAAGGCGCCCGGGCCGGAUGGCCUUCAUGUGGUUUUCUUUAAUAAAUUCUGGCAUAUCAUUGGGGAAGAUAUUACACAGGAGGUCCUGUUUGCGAUUAAUUCCAGAAACAUUCCAGCCAAUUGGAAUGAUACCACCAUUGUUAUGAUACCGAAGACGGAAUCACCUGAAGUAGUAACUCAAUAUCGCCCCAUCAGUCUUUGCAAUGUUCUUUAUAAAAUCAUUUCUAAGAUGUUAGCCCAACGUCUUAAAAACAUUCUCCCUGAGAUAAUUUCCCCUACUCAAAGUGCAUUCGUGCCUGGUAGAAUGAUCACUGAUAAUAUCUUGAUUGCAUAUGAAUGCGUACAUAAGAUCAAGAACAAACGGACAGGACAUACGGGAUUAUGUGGCGUCAAAUUGGAUACGCACAAGGCAUAUGACAGAGUGGAAUGGUCCUUUCUCCGUGAUAUGAUGAUCACUUUAGGAUUCCAUGAACACUGGGUGGAAAUGAUAAUGACAUGUGUGAGCUCAGUUAAAUAUAAUGCGAGGUUUAAUUCUCAGGAGACAGAUUCGUUUCCUACUCGUGGUAUCAGACAAGGGGACCCACUAUCUCCUUACCUUUUCCUCCUUUGUGCAGAAGGUCUAUCUAGUUUAUUGCAGUAUGAAGAAGAAGCUGGUGGCAUGGAGGGAAUCAAAGUGUGCAGAAAUGCACCGUCAGUAUCACACCUUUUAUUUGCUGAUGAUUCUUUGAUUCUUAUGAAUGCAAAUGUGUUAAAUGCAGCUUCCUUACAACACGUUUUGGAUAUCUACUGUCAAAGCUCAGGUCAACUCAUGAGUCUAGCGAAAUCAAGUGUUUUCUUCAGUCCUAAUACAACGGCAAUUUCCAGGGCUGAAAUCUGCCAAGAGUUACACAUCGAUACGGAGGCUUUGUCACACAAAUACCUUGGUCUCCCAGCCAUGGUAGGGGUAGAUAGAAGUGACUGUUUCAAACACUUCUAUGAGAGGAUCAAAGAAAGAUUACAGGGCUAGAUGGAAAAACAACUAUCAACUGGUGGGAAAUAAAUUCUUCUUAAGUCGGUAGCCCAAGCAAUCCCAGCGUUUGCUAUGUCAGUUUUUUGCUUAACUAAAGAAGUGUGCAAAGAAAUUACGGAUCUGAUUGCGCAAUUUUGGUGGGGUGAUGAUGAGGAGCAUAAGAGGAUGCAC